rnacentral:tRNA from 1 species
GCGCCUAUAGUUCAACGGAUAGAACUGAAGAUUUCUAAUCUUCCAAUGUGGGUUCGAUUCCCGCUAGGCGUACCA